AUUGAACGCUGGCGGCAGGCCUAACACAUGCAAGUCGAGCGGAUGAAGGGAGCUUGCUCCUGGAUUCAGCGGCGGACGGGUGAGUAAUGCCUAGGAAUCUGCCUGGUAGUGGGGGAUAACGUCCGGAAACGGGCGCUAAUACCGCAUACGUCCUGAGGGAGAAAGUGGGGGAUCUUCGGACCUCACGCUAUCAGAUGAGCCUAGGUCGGAUUAGCUAGUUGGUGGGGUAAAGGCCUACCAAGGCGACGAUCCGUAACUGGUCGGAGAGGAUGAUCAGUAAACUUGAACCUGAGACACGUCCCAGCUCCCAACGGGAGGAAGCAGUGGGAAUUAUUGGAAAAGGGGCGAAAGCCUGAGCCAGCCAGGCGGGGUGUGUGAAGAAGGCCUUCGGAUGGUAAAGCACUUUAAGUGGGGAGGAAGGGCAGUAAGUUAAUACCUUGCUGUUUUGACGUUACCAAUAGAAUAAGCACCGGUUAACUUCGU
rnacentral:rRNA from 1 species